UACAGAGGGUGCAAGCGUUGUUCGGAAUUAUUGGGCGUAAAGCGCGUGUAGGCGGCUUGUUAAGUCCGUUGUGAAAGCCCCGGGCUCAACCUGGGAAUGGCAGUGGAAACUAGGGGACUGGAAUCUGGCAGAGGGGGGUGGAAUGCCGCGUGUAGCAGUGAAAUGCGUAGAGAUGCGGCGGAACACCGAUGGCGAAGGCAGCCCCCUGGGCUGAGAUUGACGCUCAGGCACGAAAGCGUGGGGAGCAAACAGG
rnacentral:rRNA from 1 species